rfam:Nicotiana attenuata strain TT chromosome 9, whole genome shotgun sequence.
AGGACUGUAGUUCAAUCGGUCAGAGCACCACCCCUGUCAAGGUGGAAGCUGCAGGUUCUAGCCUUGUCAGUCCCA